UACGUAGAGUCCGAGCGUUGUCCGGAAUUACUGGGCGUAAAGAGCUCGUAGGUGGUUUGUCGCGUUGUUCGUGAAAACUCACAGCUUAACUGUGGGCGUGCGGGCGAUACGGGCAGACUGGAGUACUGCAGGGGAGACUGGAAUUCCUGGUGUAGCGGUGGAAUGCGCAGAUAUCAGGAGGAACACCGGUGGCGAAGGCGGGUCUCUGGGCAGUAACUGACGCUGAGGAGCGAAAGCGUGGGGAGCGAACAGG
rnacentral:rRNA from 1 species